GUUGACUGCUCUGCAGAUUGUUUUUUAAUCUCUCUUUAAACUCAGUUUGUUCCCUUACAGGGUCUGAUACUAUGGCCCUAAUGGUGGUCAGUGAGUUUGUGGAUGACCUGCACGUGUGGACUAUAGCAAACAAGGGUGCUGUCCAGUGACAACAUGAAGCCACAUAAGCUGAUGUACUUGGAGACUGUUCACAAGGAAUAUGUAGACUGCUAUCUUGUGGUGAAGAGUUUUACUGAAAGCUGGUCUCUGCAAGCUGCAACAGCAUCUUUUGAGGUACUCCAGAAUAGUUAUUUUUGGACUGAAUCUGACCAUGGAAUCCUCCCCCAGCUAGCUCUGGGUAAAUGAAUGUCAUAGUCAAGAAUAAUGGUUUGUCCUUGUGCCUACCAGAUGAAGGUACAUAAGAAAUUACUUGGACCACUGGGGACAGCUGCAAGAGAUGUGCUGUGGCAAGAUCAAUAAUGCUGACUAAUUCUAAUGUAGUUCACAAGUUUCCUUUGGGAAGGAAAUCUCUCUCAUCCAUCCUUUUCUACUGUGUAACUCCAGAGCCAUGGUAAUGCAGUUGACUCUUGAGUGCCCUCUGAAAUGGAUCAAGCCACUCAGUUCAAACACAGUUAGAGAUGGGCAACAAAUGCUGGUCUUGGUAAUAUCCAUAUUCCAUGAAAUAAAAAACAUUCUUAUUCAUCUGCCUUGCCCCUACAGUAGAGGUCACCAACAUGGAGAUAAGGGAGCUCUGACAGCCAAGCCCUUUGCUAAGAUGUGAACCCAACAGGCACUGUGGUUGUGGUCGAGAUAAAACACCCAUCUUUUUACUGUUUUAAUAUCAAGAUUCUGGGAGGCUGCUAGUCAAGAGUAAGCAACCAGCACACCAUGCUAAACUACUUUUUCACCAGUAAGACUAAGUUUUAUACAAAACAUUGCCUCUUGCUGGCACGUGAAAGUACCUGGAGAAGAGAUUCUUGAACAAGUCCUAACAAGCCAAUAAGAUUGCAGCAGACUCUGGACAAGAGGCUGUUGAACCUAGAUUUUCCUUCCACCCAUAACACCAAUGUUCUUAUCUGUGUGCAAGGGUGGAGUUUUCUAAAGGGGUUGACAGACUUGGGCUCUUAAUUUUGAAGCUAGAAUCUUUUUUCUAAUCUGAUAAUACUGGACUAUUAAAAACCUUGUAUGUUUUAUUGAUUCUGGGUCUGAAAAGACUACAUCUGGAAUUUUGUGCUUUUAAAAAUCUCAAUUUUUGAGGGGAAUAGUGGGGCUUGAUUUCCAGUGUAAUAUCCACUGAAGCUUAAAAAUAAAAUGGAUGUGGCCAAA